rnacentral:piRNA from 1 species
UGUACCGAUGGGCCGAUGGGUCAAAGGAGGUU